rnacentral:rRNA from 1 species
UACGAAGGGGGCUAGCGUUGUUCGGAAUCACUGGGCGUAAAGCGCACGUAGGCGGAUUGUUAAGUCGGGGGUGAAAUCCUGAGGCUCAACCUCAGAACUGCCUUCGAUACUGGCAAUCUCGAGUCCGGAAGAGGUUGGUGGAACAGCUAGUGUAGAGGUGAAAUUCGUAGAUAUUAGCUAGAACACCAGUGGCGAAGGCGGCCAACUGGUCCGGUACUGACGCUGAGGUGCGCAAGCGUGGGGGAGCAAACAGG